rnacentral:rRNA from 1 species
AACGAACGCUGGCGGCAGGCCUAACACAUGCAAGUCGAGCGCCCCGCAAGGGGAGCGGCGGACGGGUGAGUAACACGUGGGAAUUUUCCUCAAGGUACGGAACAACUCAGGGAAACCUGGGCUAAUACCGUAUGAUGCAGAGAUGCCAAAGAUUUAUCGCCUUGGGAUAAGCCCGCGUCAGAUUAGGUAGUUGGUGGGGUAAUGGCCUACCAAGCCUGUGAUCUGUAGCUGGUCUGAGAGGACGAUCAGCCACAUUGGGACUGAGACGCGGCCCAAACUCCUACGGGAGGCAGCAGUGGGGAAUCUUGCGCAAUGGACGAAAGUCUGACGCAGCCAUGCCGCGUGAAUGAUGAAGGUCUUAGGAUUGUAAAGUUCUUUAGCCUGUGACGAUGAUGACGGUAACAGGAGAAUAAGCCCCGGCUAACUUCGUGCCAGCAGCCGCAGUAA